GAUGAACGCUGGCGGCGUGCCUAAUACAUGCAAGUCGAGCGAACGGACGAGAAGCUUGCUUCUCUGAUGUUAGCGGCGGACGGGCGAGUAACACGUGGAUAACCUACCUAUAAGACUGGGAUAACUUCGGGAAACCGGAGCUAAUACCGGAUAAUAUUUUGAACCGCAUGGUUCAAAAGUGAAAGACGGUCUUGCUGUCACUUAUAGAUGGAUCCGCGCUGCAUUAGCUAGUUGGUAAGGUAACGGCUUACCAAGGCAACGAUGCAUAGCCGACCUGAGAGGGUGAUCGGCCACACUGGAACUGAGACACGGUCCAGACUCCUACGGGAGGCAGCAGUAGGGAAUCUUCCGCAAUGGGCGAAAGCCUGACGGAGCAACGCCGCGCGAGUGAUGAAGGUCUUCGGAUCGUAAAACUCUGUUAUUAGGGAAGAACAUAUGUGUAAGUAACUGUGCACAUCUUGACGGUACCUAAUCAGAAAGCCACGGCUAACUACGUG
rnacentral:rRNA from 1 species